rnacentral:rRNA from 1 species
CCUACGGGGUGCAGCAGUGGGGAAUAUUGGGCAAUGGGCGAAAGCCUGACGCAGCGACGCCGCGUGGGUGACGAAGGCCUUCGGAUCGUAAACUUCUAUCAGCAGGGAAGAAAAUGACGGUACCUGACUAAGAAGCCACGGCUAACUACGUGCCAGCAGCCGCGGUAAUACGUAGGUGGCGAGCGUUAUCCGGAUUUACUGGGUGUAAAGGGCGCGUAGGCGGGAAUGCAAGUCAGAUGUGAAAUCCAUGGGCUCAACCCAUGAACUGCAUUUGAAACUGUGUUUCUUGAGUGAUGGAGAGGCAGGCGGAAUUCCUAGUGUAGCGGUGAAAUGCGUAGAUAUUAGGAGGAACACCGGUGGCGAAGGCGGCUUACUGGACAGAGACUGACGCUGAGGCGCGAAAGCGUGGGGAGCAAACAGGAUUAGAUACCCCUGUAGUC